rnacentral:rRNA from 1 species
UGGGGAAUUUUGGACAAUGGGGGAAACCCUGAUCCAGCCAUCCCGCGUGUGCGAUGAAGGCCUUCGGGUUGUAAAGCACUUUCGGCAGGAAAGAAACGUCGCGGGUUAAUACCCCGCGAAACUGACGGUACCUGCAGAAUAAGCACCGGCUAACUACGUGCCAGCAGCCGCGGUAAUACGUAGGGUGCAAGCGUUAAUCGGAAUUACUGGGCGUAAAGCGUGCGCAGGCGGUUCGGAAAGAAAGAUGUGAAAUCCCAGAGCUUAACUUUGGAACUGCAUUUUUAACUACCGGGCUAGAGUGUGUCAGAGGGAGGUGGAAUUCCGCGUGUAGCAGUGAAAUGCGUAGAUAUGCGGAGGAACACCGAUGGCGAAGGCAGCCUCCUGGGAUAACACUGACGCUCAUGCACGAAAGCGUGGGGAGCAAACAGGAUUAGAUACCCUGGUAGUCCACGCCCUAAACGAUGUCAACUAGCUGUUGGGGCCUUCGGGCCUUGGUAGCGCAGCUAACGCGUGAAGUUGACCGCCUGGGGAGUACGGUCGCAAGAUU